ACUAUUGAAUCUUUAUUAUUAUUUUCUGUUUUACUUAAUCUCAAACUAUUACAAUGAUGUAUUUAUAGAAAGAAUACAUUCUCUAACAACUUAACUAACUAAGAGUUAUAAUCCUGUGACAGAUGGCACAAUCCUAGCCACUGUCUAUAUCUAUAUCCUUACAUGUACCAGUCUUAAGGUAGAAAAUGCAAGCCAAGAGCAAGUUACCAGUAUGAAUCGAAAGGCUCCACUUAAUAUACCUCCAUCACUGUCAACGGAUAAGUCUGAGGAGCUCAGUCCACGAUCAGCUGUUGCAGAUAUCAGCCUGCUUUCUUCGACAGCAACUUCAGUUGGAUUGUACUAUCAUCUUGUCCUGCCCAAGAUGUCGGAGCUGGUUGUUAUCCUUUCUAAUGAAGAGAAAGAUUGGUUGCAGCAAUUGGCUUUUACUCGCAUCAUCGGGGCAUAUAAGCAAAUAGCCGUUGCUGGAGCUUCCCAAAUACAAUGUUCUCUCCUUAUAAGUCUAGGAGUUGAGUUCCCUUUGGAGUUAGACCCAUGGAAAGUAGAAACUGCUGGAGAAGCACAUCUUGGCAGAUUAUACGAAUAAUGAGGGAUAUGAGUUGACAUUGCGUGUCCUAUACAGGUUAUUUGGAGAGGCCGAAGAGGAACGCGAUUUCUUUUCUUCGACAACCGCUACUUCUGUAUAUGAAAUGUUCCUUUCAACUGCGGUGGAAACACUUAGAGAUUCUUUUCCACCAUCUGACAAAUCACUAAGCAGAUGGCUUGGUGAGGUUCCUUAUUUACCAGAUUCAGUUUUGAAAUUAUUGGAGUGCAUGUGCUCCCCUGGAAACUGCGGCAAAACCCAGAAGGAAACACAAGGUGGGGAUCGAGUGACUCAAGGUCUUAGCAUUGUCUGGAGCCUGAUUUUGCUAAGACCUCCUCUCCGAUAUCCAUGCUUAAAAAUUGCUUUACAGAGUGCAGUUCAUCGUCUGGAGGAAGUGCGCAUGAAGGUUAUAUGUCUGGUUGCAAACAAGCUUUAUCCUUUGUCAUCUAUUGCCCAACGAAUAGAAGAUUUUGCUAUUGAAAUGUUGCUUUCUCUAAAAGUGUUGAUGCAACUGAAAAGAUAGAUGCUGAAGGAUCGAAAAAUGAAUUACAGAAGGAUUCUGAUUCAGAUAAACAUUCCAAUGGACCUCCAUCAGUGAGUGGUAACAGUAAAGAUAUCUCCUCUGAUAAUCAUCAAUCAUGCAGUUCACAAAGCGUGUCAUCCCCUUCAAUUGCCGAGGCCCAGCGGUGUUUGUCAUUGUAUUUUGCUCUUUGUACAAAGGUGUUACUUUAUCUUAUUAUCAAAUGCUGAGUUGUUCAAUGUCUAUUAGUUAAUUAUUAAAAUAUUCAAUAUUAUUUUUAUUGAAGUUAACAUGAUUGGUAAAACCUCAAUGGCAAAACAUUCCCUUUUUUGCCAAAUAUUUGUUGUUUAUGGAAGCACUUGGUGCGAUGGCAAUUGCCUUCGUCCAUGAGCGGUAGGCUCGGGUUCGAGACUUGGGAGCAGCUUCUCCAUAAAUGGGGGUAAGGCUAGCCAACAUUCACCUCUCCCAGACCCUGCGUAAAGCGGGAGCCUUGUGCACUGAGUACGACCUUUUAAUUUGUUGUUUAUGGAAGCGCAUCAAAGGCCGUCAAGCAGGCGGUUCAUCGCCAAAUUCCAAUACUUGUACGUACUAUGGGAUUGUCACCUAAUCUUCUUGAAAUUAUUUCUGAUCCUCCAACUGGAAGCGAGAACCUCCUGAUGCAGGUUUUACAUACCCUGACAGAUGGAAUAGUUCCCUCUCAAGAACUGAUUUUUACUGUUAGAAAGCUAUAUGAUUCAAAACUGAAGGAUGUAGAGAUUCUUAUUCCAAUAUUACCCUUUCUGCUGAAAGAUGAGGUUAUGCUUAUAUUUCCCCACCUUGUGAAUCUUCAACUGGAUAAGUUCCAAGCAGCACUAGCUUGCACACUACAGGGAUCAUUCCAAUCAGGUCCUCUUCUGUCUCCAGCUGAAAUCUUGAUUGCUAUCCACGGAAUUGAUCCCGACAAAGAUGGAAUUCCACUAAAGAAGGUCACAGAUGCAUGCAAUGCCUGCUUUGAGCAGAGGCAGAUAUUCACCCAACAAGUUAUUGCCAAAGUUUUGAAUCAGUUGGUUGAGCAGAUUCCUCUUCCUUUACUGGUCAUGCGUACGGUAUUGCAAGCCAUAGUUGCCUUUCCUGCACUGUUUUAUGACCAUGUGCAGAUAUUUGUAUGUGUGGGAUUCAAUGUAAAUAACAGUUCUUCUUAGCCGACAUUCACCUCUUCCAGACCUUGCGUAAAGCGGGAGCCUUGUGCACUGGGUACGACCUUUAUGCUCCAUUUAUGUUCGAUGGUUAUGGAAGCCCACUUGCAAAUCUACUAGAUUUCCUAUUAGGUUAAUUGGUUACCACCUGUGAAGGCUGUGAUUGCUUACCAUUAAAAUUAAAAGAACAAUUCACUAUACCUUUCACGUUCAAACUUAGGAUGUGUUGCUGACUUGUCGAGCUUUUGUCAAUAAACAACAUAGGCGGAGAUCCUCUCUCGACCUGUGAGCAAGCAGAUAUGGAAAUACCCGAAGUUGUGGCUGGGAUUCUUGAAGUGUGCGUUCUUGACAAAACCUCAGUCAUUUGCCGUGCUGCUUCAGGUGUCUUUGCUGCUAACAUGUUGCUUCUUUAUCCUUGCAAUCUUUUAUCACUACCUUUUGCACCAGAAGCCCGACUCUGUGAUUUCACUCCGGCGAUCUUUUUGAAUGGAUAAUAAACUGCAUACUCAUUGGACUAUUUCGUUCACUCGAGGGAAGAAAAUCUACGUUAAUAUGUGAUGAAAUUGUUUAGUCUAAAAUAUAUAUUUGGACUUUGAAACAAGCGUUCUUCACAUCUGUAUGAGCUGAUGGCACAGCUAGAAAACGCACUGAAGAGAACUGCAGCUCUGAAAGGACCGUUGGUAGUUUUGGGAAUUGUUUCAGAUUCUCCGGCACAAACAAGUUGGUCUCAAGCCGAGGCACAAACAAGUCAAUCUCAGGCCGAGGCACAAACAAGUCAGCUUCAGCGCUCAUGCCGAGACACAGACAAGUCAGCCUCAGGCCGAGGCACAAAAAAGUCAGUCCCAGUAUCGAAGCAUAUAUACUCCGUUCAGUCGCAGUAUAUGGUCCAGCAUGUCUUAAAGCCUCGUGAAAACAAAACGAUUAAAUUCAGAGAUGACAUGAUAACAUUACACUGUCAAAGAAUAAACCAAAAAAUUUCCCAGAA